rnacentral:rRNA from 1 species
UACGUAGGGGGCAAGCGUUGUCCGGAAUCACUGGGCGUAAAGGGCGCGUAGGCGGCUCUGCACGUUCGUUGUGAAAUCGCCCGGCUCAACUGGGCGGGGUCAGCGGAUACGGCAGAGCUUGAGCAAGCUAGGGGGCAAUGGAAUUCCCGGUGUAGUGGUGGAAUGCGUAGAUAUCGGGAGGAACACCAGUGGCGAAGGCGGUUGCCUGGGGCUUUGCUGACGCUGAUGCGCGAAAGCGUGGGGAGCGAUCCGG